UACGAACCGUGCGAACGUUGUUCGGAAUUACUGGGCGUAAAGCGUGCGCAGGCGGCUGCUCAAGUCAGGGGUGAAAGCCCAGAGCUCAACUCUGGAAUUGCCUUUGAGACUGAGUAGCUUGAGUACGGGAGAGGUGAGUGGAAUUCCCAGUGUAGAGGUGAAAUUCGUAGAUAUUGGGAAGAACACCGGUGGCGAAGGCGGCUCACUGGCCCGUAACUGACGCUCAUGCACGACAGCGUGGGGAUCAAACAGG
rnacentral:rRNA from 1 species